GCCUGGCUGGCUUAGUUGGUGGAGCAUACGACUCUUGAUCUUGGGGUCAUGAGUUCAAGUCCCACAUCAGGCA
rnacentral:tRNA from 1 species